CCAGAGUUUGAUCCUGGCUCAGGACGAACGCUGGCGGCGUGCUUAACACAUGCAAGUCGAACGGUGACCUCGAGAGCUUGCUCUUGAGUGAUCAGUGGCGAACGGGUGAGUAACACGUGAGUAACCUACCCCUGACUCUGGAAUAACAAUUGGAAACAGUUGCUAAUACCGGAUACGACACGAGCGGGCAUCCGCAUCGUGUGGAAAGUUUUUCGGUCUGGGAUGGACUCGCGGCCUAUCAGCUUGUUGGUGAGGUAAUGGCUCACCAAGGCGACGACGGGUAGCCGGCCUGAGAGGGCGACCGGCCACACUGGGACUGAGACACGGCCCAGACUCCUACGGGAGGCAGCAGUGGGGAAUAUUGCACAAUGGGCGAAAGCCUGAUGCAGCGACGCCGCGUGAGGGAUGACGGCCUUCGGGUUGUAAACCUCUUUCAGUAGGGAAGAAGCGAAAGUGACGGUACCUACAGAAGAAGCACCGGCUAACUACGUGCCAGCAGCCGCGGUAAUACGUAGGGUGCGAGCGUUGUCCGGAAUUAUUGGGCGUAAAGAGCUUGUAGGCGGUUUGUCGCGUCUGCUGUGAAAAUCCGGGGCUCAACCUCGGACUUGCAGUGGGUACGGGCAGACUAGAGUGUGGUAGGGGAGACUGGAAUUCCUGGUGUAGCGGUGAAAUGCGCAGAUAUCAGGAGGAACACCCGAUGCGAAGGCAGGUCUCUGGGCCACUACUGACGCUGAAAAGCGAAAGCGUGGGGAGCGAACAGGAUUAGAUCCCUG
rnacentral:rRNA from 1 species